rnacentral:lncRNA from 1 species
UGGAAUAACACAUGGAUAUGUCCCUGAUGAGAACAUCGAUGUGGGAGAGUUGGUCCUUAGAGUCACAAAGGGCACCAGGGUGGGACAGGAAAUAAACCUGUUUCAGUAAGUUAAACAUUGCCAGGACAUAUUUGCCAAUCCAUUUUCCAAGCUCACAAGGGUACAGGAAUCCAGUUUGGUCCCUAACAGCCUUGUCUUCAGAACGCUGCUGAAGGUUGGGGAAACUGAGGCACAAACCCAACAGGCCUGGGCAGGUGACAAAACUGUUAUUGUCAACGUGUUUUGUUAUUGGUAUUUACAAGAGGACACAGCUGGAAAAUUUGAUGUGGUUUCCUGGAGUGGUCUGUGGUUUAAAUUCUAGCUAAGGAAGAAUGCAAUAAUACUACAAAUAUCUGUAAAAUGUUAAGUCAGGAAAGACAAGAGUCAAGGAACCAUCAUGAAUAACCAUUAGGAGUAAAGCAGAGGACAGUGUAGGCUCUGUAUCAGGAGCUUUCCAUGAGAAGUGCCGGGCUUCUUCUGAUGGGAAUAUUUAAUGAUUGGACAUCUUGUGCUGUGGAGACUGAAGAGCAGUACUGGAAGAAACACUUAAUUACUAACCAUGGCUGACAUGACAUGCUGGUGGGGGAGAUUAUUAUUCCAAGUUGCUGAUGCUGCUGAUGGAGGUGCUCCACAAAGGCCUCAUCCUGCACAUGCUGUGGAGGGAGCAUCAGGAAGGUGCAAUUAGCAUGGGGCUGACAAGUGGAACAACACAAAACCCAGAGCAAAGGUACAUGGCCACAGCUCAGAGACCAGAACACAAGAUAUUUGUUGCUCUCCAGAAGCAUAGCACAGAGAAAACCAGCAAGUCAUUGAGGG